GNNNAUNGNCUAGGAUGACGCUGGCGGCGUGCUUAACACAUGCAAGUCGAGCGAGGGAGCACCUUCGGGUGUGAACUAGCGGCGGACGGGUGAAUAACACGUGGGCAACCUGCCUUCCAGAGGGGGAUAGCCUUCCGAAAGGAAGAUUAAUACCGCAUAUUAUGAUUUUUCUGCAUGGGGAAGUCAUGAAAGGAGCAAUCCGCUGUAAGAUGGGCCCGCGGCGCAUUAGCUAGUUGGUGAGGUAAGGGCUCACCAAGGCGACGAUGCGUAGCCGACCUGAGAGGGUGAUCGGCCACAUUGGGACUGAGACACGGCCCAGACUCCUACGGGAGGCAGCAGUGGGGAAUAUUUGCACAAAUGGGGGGAAACCCCUGAUGCAGCCACCCCCCCCGUGAGUGAUGACGGCCCUUCGGGUUUGUAAGCUUCUGUCUUUCCGGGACCAAUAAUGACCGGUCCCUGGAGGAGGAAGCCCCCCGCUUAACUUCCGUGCCCACCGCCCCGGGAAUUCGUAAGGGGGGGAAGGGUUUUUCCGAUUUACUGGGGCGUAAAGGGUGCCCUAAGGGGAAUUUUUAAUGGGGAUGUGAAAAUCCCCGGGCUCCACCUGGGAACUGGCUUCCCAAAUGGAAUUCUUGAAUGCCAGGAGAAAGGAAACCGAAAUUUCUAGUGGGGCGGGGAAAUGCGUAUAGAUUAAGAAGANACCCCUGGGGAAAGGGGCUUUUCUUGGCUGUUAAUGACACUGAGGGGUGAAAGCGUGGGGGAGCAAAAAAGAAUAUAUACCCCUGGGAGUUCCCCCCCCAAAACAUGGGGGCUAAGUGUAGGGGGUUCUCAUACCNNUGUGGCGCCGUAAACNNAAUAAGAANCUCCCCCUGGGGGAGUANGCGGCGCCCGAUAUAUACUCCUAGNGUUGUCNGGGGGCCCGCCCCCACAUAGCGGAGCAUGUGGGUUUU
rnacentral:rRNA from 1 species